rnacentral:rRNA from 1 species
UACGGGGGGUGCAAGCGUUACUCGGAAUCACUGGGCGUAAAGAGCAUGUAGGCGGGUGAAUAAGUUGGAAGUGAAAUCCUAUAGCUUAACUAUAGAACUGCUUCCAAAACUGUUCACCUAGAGUAUGGGAGAGGUAGAUGGAAUUUCUGGUGUAGGGGUAAAAUCCGUAGAGAUCAGAAGGAAUACCGAUUGCGAAGGCGAUCUACUGGAACAUUACUGACGCUCAGAUGCGAAAGCGUGGGGAGCAAACAGG